rnacentral:rRNA from 1 species
UACGAAGGGGACUAGCGUUGUUCGGAUUUACUGGGCGUAGAGGGCGCGUAGGCGGUCACGACAAGUCAGUUGUGAAAUCUCCGGGCUUAACUCGGAACGGUCAACUGAUACUGUCGGACUAGAGUGCAGAAGGGGCAACUGGAAUUCUCGGUGUAGCGGUGAAAUGCGUAGAUAUCGAGAGGAACACCUGCGGCGAAGGCGGGUUGCUGGGCUGACACUGACGCUGAGGCGCGAAAGCCAGGGGAGCGAACGGG